UUGCUAACACCAUGCAUUUAGGUUAGACAACUUAUAAGAUCACAGUCACAGACCGAAUAUUUGGCAUUCUAUAUUGGAACAGAUAAAUAGAUAGGCAGCAGAUAUACAUUAAGGAGACAAAUAUUAUGAUGGCCACACUACUGACAUGUGAAAGUAUCAUGCAUGGGGGGUUAUAAAGCUAAGCUUUACGAAGCUUUAUCAUGGGCGCCAGUUGCAUGGUGUCCUCUCAGACAAGGACGGAGAAAAGGAUGAAUAAUUGAGCAAGGUAGCAUCACCUAAAAAGCCACCAGCAUAACAAUAACAUGCAACUUAAAGAGCUGCAAGCAGGGACAUAUUGAUUCACGGAGUGCUCCAUGCCGCUAAGCUAUUAGAUUCACUUACCAGGACACAUAUAUAUGGAGAUGAUCAGCAGAUAUCAGGAUCCAAUCUAUAUCUAUUAUGGAUGCUCACAGUAUAUAUGUCAUUCUCAGCUUUAGCAGUCUUCUGAAUCGAUGGUCCCAUGGCAACUAAUUGAGGUAGGAUCCACAAAACGGCUCAUACUGCACUAAUCUUGGCAUCUUGUGCUUUGCUUGUCAGUGCAUGCAUGUCUAUCUUUGAGAUCAAAGCCUCUCAUUGGAUCUUUUAUCUUUUUCUUUGGGGUUAUCUAUCUAAAGUUUGAGGAUGUUUUGAGGGAGCGCACUUAGUUUAAGGCUCACUUUGAGUCUCAUGAUGGUUAAAUUCACUCGAUAUGCUGCAUUAAUUACAGGUUUGCCUUCCUAUCUUUCCUCAUUGUAGAGCUUAAUCUGACUGCUUCACUUCUAGACUAAAACAACACACAGCAGAACCUACUCCCAGCUUCCUACCUUAAUGGACACUUUUAAAGCAUUCGUUUGUUCAAAAAUACAUUUAUAACCUAAACUUCUGCUAGAUUUACACAGCUAAACUUGGAGCAGUGCAAAUGGAGCUACUGAACGAGCUCACAGUCUUUGUUAUGCCAGGCGGGGAACCACAAACUAAGACAUGCUGGGUGGCGCCACAGUAGCAAUAUAUGGUAAAAAGCCAUGCAAGGCUAAUGGUGACGGGAAGACAGGAGGACCACCAAUCAGAUCGCAUGAUAGGGGUGGCCAUUCCACCAGAUAUGACCCACGUACCUCUCUCUCUCUCUCUCUCCCCCCCUCUCCACAAAGGUGUGAAGUCACCUCUCAUUCUUCCAUUAGCAAGCUCAAACCACAGCUCAGUUAACUGAACCUAUAUGAAAGCUCCAAUCUCCCUCUCUUACUUAAAGGAAACACCAGUUUGAUAUGACAAGUGAGUUCUAUCAUUCCUUUUCUUUUGUCUUUAUAGUUUAUAAUAGAGGAUCAAUAGGCUAAAGGGUUGGUGAGGAAAUUAUAAACUACACUCAUUAAUGAGUUAAAAAAACCACCCACCACCUGCCUUCUUUCUUGCGUCCUGCCCUAGAGAAGUCAAUGCACUAGCUAGGGCUGGCUCUCCCAAAAACUCUAAAGAAAGAGAGAGGAGAGAGAGAGAGAGAGCGAGCAUGAGCAUUUAAUGGGUGUAAGAAAAGAAGCUAAGCAAUAAAAAGCUUUUAGAACCAGGCGUUUUUCUUUCCUUCUGAAAUAUCUGAUGCCAGCCAUUAAUUAUACAGAGGACUACGAUAGAAAUGCGGCAGCUUUGUGCAGCAUUGGCUUGGCUCUUACAAUUGCAUCAUCCAUGAUGGAAUUGGUUCUCCUCCUUCUGAUCCAAGAAAGUACAUUCUGAUCUUGAAUAGUUUGGUAAUAAUGGUGCAUGCGAUCACGGGGCAUCUUAAUUUAUUAUGACGCUAUUUCUCCUUCAACAUAAAAAAAAACAGCAGAUUUAUUGUACUCCCACCCACCUCAUAUCCUUGGUUCAAAUGUUGAUAUUAUGGGCUCUUUGCUCCAAGAUUCUUCAAAGAGCUUAUAAAUAGCUUGAUGGAAUAAAUGAAAUACUAAGAAGUAAUUUAUGUAAUUUUGACUUUCUUUCGUU